UAAAGCAAUUAAGGGCGUAUGGUGGAUGCCUAGGGUCUGAGAGGCGAUGAAGGACGUGGUAAGCUGCGAUAAGCUUCGGGGAGCUGCACACAAGCAUUAUAUCCGAAGAUUUCCGAAUGGGACAACCUGAUACAUUGAAGAUGUAUCACUCGAAAGAGAGCCAACCCGCUGAACUGAAACAUCUAAGUAGGCGGAGGAAAAGAAAAUAAUAAUGAUUCCCUGAGUAGUGGCGAGCGAAACGGGAAGAGCCCAAACCUUGGUGGCGUGCUGCCAAGGGGUUGUAGGACUGCAUUUAGAAACUGUUAUCAAGCUGAAUCUUCUGGAAAGUUGAAUCAAAGAGGGUGAUAAUCCCGUAGGCACAAAUUAACAGCGACGAGCAGUAUCCUGAGUAAGGCGGGACCGGAGAAAUCCUGCCUGAAACUGCCGGCACCAUCCGGUAAGGCUAAAUACUCCUCAGACACCGAUAGUGAACCAGUACCGUAAGGGAAAGGUGAAAAGCACCCUAAACAAGGGAGUGAAAUAGUACCUGAAACCGUGCGCCUACAAGCGGUCGGAGCCAGCAAUGGUGACGGCGUGCCUUUUGCAUAAUGAGCCUACGAGUUACUCCUCACUGGCGAGGUUAAGUUCUUAAGUAACGGAGCCGUAGCGAAAGCAAGUCCAAAUAGGGCGACUAGUCAGUGGGGGUAGACGCGAAACUUUGUGAUCUAUCCAUGGGCAGGUUGAAGUGUUGGUAACACAACAUGGAGGACCGAACCCAUGAGCGUUGAAAAGCUCUGGGAUGACCUGUGGAUAGGGGUGAAAGGCCAAUCAAACUGAGAGAUAGCUCGUUCUCCCCGAAAUGUUUUUAGGAACAGCGUCGCAUUUUAGAAGUUUACUAGAGGUAGAGCUACUGAUUGGGCUAGGGGGCUUCACCGCCUACCAAACCCUGACAAACUCCGAAUGCUAGUAAAUAUCUGCGGCAGUGAGGCUGUGGGCGAUAAGGUCCAUGGCCGAGAGGGAAAUAACCCAGAUUAGCAACUAAGGUCCCUAAUACAUGGUUAAGUUGAUCAAACGAGGUGGAGUUUCUAUGACAGCCAGGAUGUUGGCUUGGAAGCAGCCACUCAUUUAAAGAGUGCGUAACAGCUCACUGGUCGAGAGACUCUGCACGGAAAAUAAUCGGGCAUCAAACCAUGAACCGAAGUUCUAAGAUUGCUACUAGGUAGUAUAUCGGUAGGGGAGCAUUGAAAUCUGCGCUGAAGGUGUGUGGCGAUGCAUGCUGGAGCGAUUUCAAAAGAAAAUGUAGGCAUAAGUAACGAUAAUUGAAGUGAAAAACUUCAACGCCGUAAACCCAAGGUUUCCUGAUCAAUGUUAAUCAGAUCAGGGUUAGUCGGGUCCUUAGGCAAACCCGAAAGGGGUAGCUGAUGGCAAGUUGGUUAAUAUUCCAACACCUGCUUUAGAUUCGAUGGGGUGACGGGGUAGUGAAAGAUCCGCCUGGUGACGGAAUACCAGGUUAAAGGGUGUAGAUAUAGGUUUUGUAGGUAAAUCCGCAAGAACUGUCGAACCUGAUAGUACAGCAAAGCUUCGGCUGCGUUGAUAGUGAUCCUAAUCAGACCUCCGAGAAAAACCUCUAAGUUAUGUUUAAAGCAGCCCGUACCGCAAACCGACACAGGUGGGUGGGAUGAAUAUUCUAAGGCGCUCGGGUGAGCCUUGGAGAAGGAACUAGGCAAAUUGACGCUGUAACUUCGGGAUAAAGCGUACCUACUUCGGUAGGUCUCAGUAAAAUGGUACAACCAACUGUUUAGCAAAAACACAGGGCCCUGCAAAAUCGAAAGAUGACGUAUAGAGCCUGAUACCUGCCCGGUGCUGGAAGGUUAAGGAAGGAUGUUCGGAGUAAUCCAAAGCUUCUGACUGAAGCCCCAGUAAACGGCGGCCGUAACUAUAACGGUCCUAAGGUAGCGAAAUUCCUUGUCGGGUAAGUUCCGACCUGCACGAAUGGUCUAAUGAGUUGUACACUGUCUCCUCCAAGAGCCCGGUGAAAUUGUAGUAUCGGUGAAGAUGCCGGUUACCCGU
rnacentral:rRNA from 1 species